rnacentral:rRNA from 3 species
AAUCCAUAGGUUAAUGAGGCGAACCGGGGGAACUGAAACAUCUAAGUACCCCGAGGAAAAGAAAUCAACCGAGAUUCCCCCAGUAGCGGCGAGCGAACGGGGAGGAGCCCAGAGCCUGAAUCAGCAUGUGUGUUAGUGGAAGCGUCUGGAAAGGCGCGCGAUACAGGGUGACAGCCCCGUACACAAAAGCGCAUGUGCUGUGAGCUCGAUGAGUAGGGCGGGACACGUGGUAUCCUGUCUGAAUAUGGGGGGACCAUCCUCCAAGGCUAAAUACUCCUGACUGACCGAUAGUGAACCAGUACCGUGAGGGAAAGGCGAAAAGAACCCCGGCGAGGGGAGUGAAAAAGAACCUGAAACCGUGUACGUACAAGCAGUGGGAGCACCCUUUGGGUGUGACUGCGUACCUUUUGUAUAAUGGGUCAGCGACUUAUAUUCUGUAGCAAGG